GGCACGCCUUAUACAUGCAAGUCGAACGAAGUAGCAAUACUUAGUGGCAGACGGGUGAGUAACAUGUAGGUAUCUUCCCUUUGGUGAGGAAUAACACGAGGAAACUUGUGCUAAUACCUCAUAAGUCUUUACGGAGAAAGCUUUAUGCGCCAUAGGAUGAGCCUGCAUUUGAUUAGUUUGUUGGUGGGGUAAUGGCCUACCAAGACUUUGAUCAAUAGCUGAUCUGAGAGGAUGAUCAGCCACAUUGGGACUGAGACACGGCCCAAACUCCUACGGGAGGCAGCAGUAGGGAAUAUUGCACAAUGGAGGAAACUCUGAUGCAGCGAUGCCGCGUGAGUGAAGAAGGCCUUUGGGUUGUAAAGCUCUUUCGUCGGGGAAGAAAAUGACUGUACCCGAAUAAGAAGGUCCGGCUAACUUCGUGCCAGCAGCCGCGGUAAUACGAAGGGACCUAGCGUAGUUCGGAAUUACUGGGCUUAAAGAGUUCGUAGGUGGUUAAAAAAGUUGGUGGUGAAAUCCCAGAGCUUAACUCUGGAACUGCCAUCAAAACUUUUUAGCUAGAGUAUGAUAGAGGAAAGCAGAAUUUCUAGUGUAGAGGUGAAAUUCGUAGAUAUUAGAAAGAAUACCAAUUGCGAAGGCAGCUUUCUGGAUCAUUACUGACACUGAGGAACGAAAGCAUGGGUAGCGAAGAGGAUUAGAUACCCUCGUAGUCCAUGCCGUAAACGAUGUGUGUUAGACGUUGGAAAUUUAUUUUCAGUGUCGCAGCGAAAGCAUUAAACACACCGCCUGGGGAGUACG
rnacentral:rRNA from 1 species